CAACACUGAGUUUGAGCCUCGAACAUUUAUUUUGAAAUUUUACUUGAACUGUGUCAUCAGAUGACAGCCAUGUCCGGUUCUACCGCGGCACUGGAAACGCAAAGCGCUCAGGUGUCGGCAGCUUCCGACUUGGGAACGGCAAGUGCUCAGGCGUCGGAGGCAGUUAUAGGCCCGGAAGUUGCUCCCGCUCCUGCUGAACGUCCCGAUGAAGUAAACCUCGUCGAUGAAC